GAUGAAGACCGUAGCAAAUUGCGAUAAGUGGUGUGAUAUGCGAGUCCAAAACUUAUACGUGAACCAUCGAAUUGUUGAACGCAUCGCAUCGAGCUUUGCCCAAGCACGAUAUGUCCCAUUGAGCGUCAUUAUGUCUUUGGAUUUUAUUCCAAGUUCGGGAUUUAUGGCCCUCAGCCAUGCUUCCUUGGAUGUAUCAGUGCCAGAUGGAGUGGUACUCCCCUUGUCGUAAACUUCAAGGUGUCCACAUCAGCUCUGGCCUGUCGACCGAUCCUAGUCGGUCAACAUGAGGGUGCCUUCAAUGGUUACCUCUCUCAAACAUGAUCUCAAGGGGGCAAGACAACCCGCUAGACUUAAGCAUAUUAAUCAGCGGAGGAAAAGAAACUAACAAGGAUUCCCCCAGUAACUGCGAGUGAAGAGGGAUCAGCUCAACGUGUGAAUCUGAUAAGGUUUAAUGCCUUGUCCGACUUGUGCACUAUUGACACUGGCUCAGCGUAUGAAUACUAAAGGCGGAUGUCCGAUGAAACACGGCACCAUAGCGGGUCACAGUCCUAUACAUGCCUAUUGGUGUUUACGCAUAUGACCAGUGCUCAUCGAGUCGUGUAGUUUUGUAUUGCUGCACUAAUUGGGAGGUAGAGCCCUUCUAAAGCUAAAUAUUAUGGCAUGACCGAUAGCAAACAAGUACCGUGAGGGAAAGGUGAAAAGCAACCAUGCAGAAUGGGUUGAAAGAGUAGUGAAAGUGCUACCGGGAUAAGGGCUAGUGAUUGCAAGUGCAGAUCGUGUGUGCUUUAGUGCUACACUAACUGCCGUCAUGCAUCGAUUGGGUUGGGGAGAACAGGUCGGUGGAGAUUCAGCUCGAUCCAGAGUGUUGUAACCCACCAGGCAAUGGAGUCCCAUCCGAUCGGAUACAAGGUGCAUUGGUUGCGGUCAUUAGCCGCCCGUCUUGAAACACGGACC
rnacentral:rRNA from 1 species